rnacentral:rRNA from 1 species
GUAGGUGGCAAGCGUUGUCCGGAAUUAUUGGGCGUAAAGCGCGCGCAGGCGGUUCUUUAAGUCUGAUGUGAAAGCCCACGGCUCAACCGUGGAGGGUCAUUGGAAACUGGAGAACUUGAGUACAGAAGAGGAAAGCGGAAUUCCACGUGUAGCGGUGAAAUGCGUAGAGAUGUGGAGGAACACCAGUGGCGAAGGCGGCUUUCUGGUCUGUAACUGACGCUGAGGCGCGAAAGCGUGGGGAGCAAACAGGGAUUAGAUACCCUGGUAGUCCACGUCGUAAACGAUGAGUGCUAAGUGUUAGGGGGUUUCCGCCCCCUUAGUGCUGCAGCUAACGCAUUAAGCACUCCGCCUGGGGAUACGGCCGCAAGGCUG